rnacentral:misc_RNA from 1 species
GAUGAAGAACGCGGUGAAAUGCGAUAAGUAGUGUGAAUUGCAGAAUUCAGUGAAUCAUCGAAUCUUUGAACGCACAUUGCGCCCCUUGGUAUUCCAUGGGGCAUGCCUGUUCGAGCGUCAUUUGUACCUUCAAGCUUUGCUUGGUGUUGGGUGUUUGUCCUGAGGGACUCGCCUUAAAGUAAUUGGCAGCCAGUGUUUGGUUUUGAAGCGCAGCACAAGUCGCGAUUCAAAGCUAUACGCCCGCUUCCACAAGCCUUUUUCACUUUUGACCUCGGAUCAGGUAGGGAUACCCGCUGAACUUAAGCAUAUCAAUAAGCGGAGGA